rnacentral:rRNA from 1 species
GCCGCAGUAUCCUGACUGUGCGAAGGUAGCAUAAUCACUUGUCCUUUAAUUGGGGACUUGUAUGAAUGGUCUGAUGAGGGAUUAUCUUUCUUUAUCUUAUAUAUAUAAACUUAAUCUAUAAGUUAAAAAGCUUAUAUUAUUUUAAAUGACGAGAAGACCCUAUAGAGCUUUACUGUUAUAUAAAUAUACUAUCAAUAUAUAUAUUAUUAAACAUAUAGUUAUUUAUAAUAGUUUUGUUGGGGUGACAAUUAAAUUUAUUUAACUUUAGUUUAACUUAACUCAUUGAUUAAUGAUUGUUGUUGAUCCUAUACUAUAGAUUAUAAGAAUAAGUUACCUUAGGGAUAACAGCGUAAUUCUAUUAGAGAGUUCAUAUUAAUAAUAGAGUUUGCGACCUCGAUGUUGGAUUAAA